rnacentral:rRNA from 1 species
GGUUACUGCUAUCGCCGUUCGCCUAAGCCAUGCGAGUCAUAUGUUCGUAAGAACAUGGCGUACUGCUCAGUAACACGUGGAUAACCUGCCCUUGGGUCCGGCAUAACCCCGGGAAACUGGGGAUAAUUCCGGAUAACGCACAUAUGCUGGAAUGCUUUAUGCGUAAAAUGGAUUCGUCUGCCCAAGGAUGGGUCUGCGGCCUAUCAGGUAGUAGUGGGUGUAAUGUACCUACUAGCCUACGACGGGUACGGGUUGUGAGAGCAAGAGCCCGGAGAUGGAUUCUGAGACAUGAAUCCAGGCCCUACGGGGCGCAGCAGGCGCGAAAACUUUACAAUGCGGGAAACCGUGAUAAGGGGACACCGAGUGCCAGCAUCCUAUGCUGGCUGUCCGGGUGUGUAAAAUACACCUGUUAGCAAGGGCCGGGCAAGACCGGUGCCAGCCGCCGCGGUAACACCGGCGGCCCGAGUGGUGAUCGUGAUUAUUGGGUCUAAAGGGUCCGUAGCCGGUUUGGUCAGUCCUCCGGGAAAUCUGACAGCUUAACUGUUAGGCUUUCGGAGGAUACUGCCAGACUUGGAACCGGGAGAGGUAAGAGGUACUACAGGGGUAGGAGUGAAAUCUUGUAAUCCCUGUGGGACCACCUGUGGCGAAGGCGUCUUACCAGAACGGGUUCGACGGUGAGGGACGAAAGCUGGGGGCACGAACCGGAUUAGAUACCCGGGUAGUCCCAGCCGUAAACGAUGCUCGCUAGGUGUCAGGCAUGGCGCGACCGUGUCUGGUGCCGCAGGGAAGCCGUGAAGCGAGCCACCUGGGAAGUACGGCCGCAAGGCUGAAACUUAA